GGGUCAGUAGGUUGGUCGUGCCACCGGUACGUACUGGUCUCACUGAUUACUCCUUCCUGAAGAACCGUAAUGCCAUUAAUUUGGUGUUGCGGGGAAACAGGACUGCUACUUUGAAAAAAUUAGAGUGUUUAAAGCAAGCUAACGCUUGAAUACAUUAGCAUGGAAUAAUGAAAUAGGACGAUCGAUCCUAUUUUGUUGGUUUCUAGGAUUGACGUA
rnacentral:rRNA from 1 species